GUCACCAUAGGCGGGGACACCGCACUACACGCGGUGGCCAAAUACGGUGACGGCGACAACUUUAUGAGGAGUGCCGGCGUUAUCUACCGCAAGGCGCAGCACCUCGUGGUUACACAAAACCAGAGGGGUGACACGCCCCUGCAUGUCGCUGCCAGGGCCGGGAGUUCCCAGAUGGUCUCUCGUUUCAUUGAUCUCGCUAGAGGCGAGGACAGCGAUGGCGGAGAGAGGUUGAAGGUGCUCCUGAGAAAGGAAAAUGGUCGCAAGGAGACGGCCUUGCAUGAGGCUGUCCGCAUUGGAAAUAAGGAUAUGGUGGAUCUGCUAAUGCUGGCGGAUUCAGAAUUGGCCAGCUAUCCAACGGACGGCACUUCCCCGUUGUAUCUAGCCAUCCUGCUUGAGCAGGCCCACAUUGUGCAGUCACUAUAUGACAAUAGUCAUGGUAAUCUUUCGUAUUCUGGACCAGAUGGACAAAAUGCACUGCAUGCUGCUGUUCUUCGUAGCCAAGUGAUGACAGAAAUGCUACUGAGCUGGAACAUUGGCCUUACCACACAAGGUGACCAAAAUGGGAGCACACCCCUUCACUUUGCAACAUCAAUGUUGCACCCGAGAGCUGAUCGAACUCCAAUGUUUCAAUCAGAUAACAUGGGAUCAUUUCCUAUACACAUUGCUGCCUCCACAGGUGCGAAGAAGGCUAUUGUCAAAUUCUUAGACAAGGGAAGAACUUUCCUUCAUGUUGCUAUUGAAAAGAAAAGGUGGAAUAUAGUCGCAUAUGCUUGCAAAACUGAGUCGUUAUCAUGGAUUUUGAAUAUGCAAGACAAUAAUGGAAACACAGCGCUACACCUAUGCGUAAAGCUUGGGGACCAGGAUAUAUUUGCUUUGCUCUUGGAGAAUCAGGAAGUGCGACUAAAUGUAAUAAAUGACAAGGGUGAAACUCCCCUAGAUCUAUCGGAGAGCAAACUUCGUGCCGGUGCCGGGUCUAUUUAUAACCCUAGAUAUUUGAUAAAUGUUGCGUUAAAAUAUUGCCAUGCUAAGCAUGGCAGUCGUCGGUUGGAUCACUUUGAAGGAGAGUACAUUCAACCAGAGGAUGAAGAGAAAGAAUCGCAAAACAUGACAAAUGCAACACAAACUUUGGCCCUUGGCUCGGUGCUAAUGGCAACUGUGGCAUUUGGUGCAACUUUCACUCUACCUGGGUACAAAGGCGAUGGCACACCAGCACUUUCUGGGCUGUAUGUUUUUGAUGCAUUCAUCGUGGCCAAUUCAUUAGCAUUCUGUUGCGCUGGUAUAGCUACAAUCAGUCUCAUGUACUCUGGAAAAGCUAUUGUUGAUGUACCAUUGCGCAGUUGGCACUUUGACAUUGCAGUAUUUUUCGCGUUCGGUGCAGUCACUAGCUUGGCUACUGCCUUCGUGCUAAGCUUGUAUUUGGUGCUAGCCCCAGUUGCUCACAUGACUGCUACUAUAAUAUGUGUGGUGGCGUCUAUUUUAUCUCUGUGUGGAUACGUAGACUCGUUACGAGGUCAUCCUGUGGGAAGAGCAUUACAUCGUAGAAUGGGAAAUCCAGCAUUGGUGAUAUUUGCACGUCUUCUCUUCCUGGAAACGGUGACAGUAUUUUGGCCGUUGGUUGCAACCUUCAUUUGGGCAGAGAUUUCGACAAGAUACCAUCACAAAUGA
rnacentral:rRNA from 1 species